UGUUAUUUGAUAUUCAUCUGAUUCAAGUCAACCGUCAUUCAGACAAGACUUGAUCGUUAAAAUAAUUCAACAUUAGUAUGUCGCAGCGUGUUAUCGUGUUGUAUAGUGAGAUGCAUAACAAAUGUCAUCAUGAUUAAUAGAUGUGGUCUUUAUAAGAACUAUUUAUCUUGUACUUUAACAAGAACAAUGUAUUUUAGCUUUGAUAUUAUAUGAAUGCAUUUGGGUCUUGUUCUGAUAGAGUACUGGAAAUAAAAAAAAAAAAAAAAAAAAAAAAAAAAAAAA
rnacentral:lncRNA from 1 species